CAAAGUGCGGCAUUGCCGGCUGAUUUUUUCGGCCGCCCAACGUGCACUGCCGGCAAAGGGGGCCGAAUAUAUCAAAAACCCUAACGGUCCCCCUCAUUUGCUCUCUCUCUCUCUCUCUCUCUCUCUCUCUCUCUCUCUCCGCCCCCGUUCCCCUCUUUCCCUCUCUCCCUAUUCUCCUCUUUCCCUCUCUUUCUCUCUCCCGAUCUCCGCUCCCGAUUUUCCUCUUUCCCUCUCUUUCUCUCUCCCGAUCUCCAUUUCCCUCUCUCUCUCUCUCUCUCUCUCUCUCUCUCACCUGCUCCAUCUCUCUCAUUCGCCUCCCUCUCUCUCUCCAAUGCAUCUCCACCAUCUCUUCUAUCUCCCUCGCGUCAUCUUUUUACUCGGAUCUCCAUUGGAACAGCCGCCCGAAGGAACCACGCACCAUUCAAAAGCCCCUUUUCAGAUUUUUGUGGCAUUUCUUAAAUCGAAGCAAUCUAAAGCUCCUCUCUACAGUGAAAAUGAGAAAUCUGGAUUCGUGAAUCUGGUGUCUCAUUAUCUAAGAAGCGCAACAAAUUGAAUGAAGUAAGACCCAGCUACUCGGACAUAUGAAGUCAUCGUUCAUUAUGAUAGCUUGGCACCGACUUGUGAAGGUGAUCUCCUG